UUCUCUGUCACUACAUCCAUAAAGUCAUGGAAUUCCAUGCGGAGGGUGCUCAACUCGCCUCUCAGAUUGGCGACAUCUGUCUGAACAACUUCGAUGGCAGCAACAUGAUCGGUGAGAGGUGUAGCAGGUAUAACAGAGGCAUGUGGUUCAGAAUCAGAUGUUCAUAGGUCGUAUGACCCUGACUACUGGGUAAUGUAGUCCCAUUGCAUGCGCUAUCAUGUUCACUAAGU
rnacentral:lncRNA from 1 species